AUGAAAAUACAAUGUAAAAAGUAUAUUUUGAAAUGGAAAGAGGUAAUAUUCUCUGAACGAGCUCAAAUUCAGGCUGCAGACGAUUUUCUAGAUCUGAAAAUAAACUCGCGAUAUUUUCAAGCCUGGAGAGAAUUAGUGAGGAUGAGUAAACGUAGAGAAUAUUCGCUCAGCAUCAAAAGUGAUUUAUUUUAUUCCAGGAUUCUGAAACGAAAAUAUUUCUUUUUGUGGCUCAGAUAUAUUCUCUUGAAAGAAUCAAUAUUGGAAAGCGAAAACACGAGGGAAUUUCUCCGAUCCAAGGUUUCCAUUCUUCUACCUGACUAUAUCCCAUUGAGAGAAAAUUAAAGAAAAAUCAUAUUAUCUAAAAAAUUUAUAUUUUUAAAAGUCGCACAAAAAUAUAUUUUGAAGAUGAAAAUCGGUCCUUUUAAACAAGAAAGUGAUAACUUUACCAAAGUGCGGUAAAACGUUUUUUUUUGAUCAAUUUCGUAGAUUUUCAUGCAAAUUUUUUUCAAUCAAUUUAAGUGAUAUUUAAGUUGUUCGUGCUCUACGGACUUCUCAGCUUUUGCGGAAGGGAAUGUAUCUUGUGUUUGUAAACUUUGUAUUGUGUUCGAUUGUAAAUAGUCAAAAAUGCAUUAAAUUAUAUGCAUUUGCAAAUUUAUUUAUUUUCAACUACUUUACAGGGAAGUUAAGAGCAUUCACUCUGUCAACGCAUGUUGAAUUGACUUUGAAAAGUCCAAAAACCUGCAUUAAAAAAUGCAUUUAAAAACUUAAAUAUAAAAAAGAUGUGAAAUUUGAAGACAAGGUGUAAAAAAAUAG